AAAAAAAAAAAAAAAAACCUUCACAGUGGAUGGAAAAUUCAUUUGAUGAUUGACAGGGGAUGGAAAAUUGCAGAUUUUGGUAGAGUAGCAAAUGCAGUCCCUUUUGAUCUCAUCGACCUUUCGGGUUCAUGAUCUGCGAGAACACAGCGCUUGGCGUCAACCCAUCUGAGUCUUCACUUGCAAGGCUCCGGCCACCUAUGCUCAUGCUCAUUCCGCUGCUCCUUGAAUCUGUGAUGUUACCAUCAAAGCCAGGGGAAGCAUUAAGAUCUUUCUUCCCUUUAAAAGCAGUAUUAAAUGGCGUUUCCUCAUCAUCUAUUCCGCUGAUACCUUUGCCACUCUCCUCUGCACUCUCUUGUAGCUGCAAAGCAAACUCUAGGUUCCAUAGCACAUCUCCCAUGGAUGGCCUGUCAAUGCCCUGAUCAGCCACACAUUUCAUUGCAGUCUCAGCAAACUUUUUGAAGCAUUCAGGCGCAAUCUUCCCCUUCAGAUAGGGGUCAACAAUCUGAUCCAGAAUGCCUUUCUUGUAGCAAUGAGCAGCCCACUCUGCCAAGCUGACUUGCUCCUUUGGCAGCGUUGGGUUCAAGGCUGGUCGAGCACACAGGAUCUCAAACAGCACAACUCCAAAAGAGUAAACAUCUGAUUUUUCAGUCAGUUGCUGCCGCCUAAAAUACUCUGGAUCCAGAUAGCCAAAACUACCCUUCACUACAGUGCUAACAUGGGUGUGAUCCAAAGUAGGACCCGUUUUUGACAAGCCAAAAUCAGAAACCUUUGCAACCCAUUUCUCAUCCAAAAGAAUAUUUGUUGUCUUGACAUCUCUGUGGAUAAUAGUGUGUUUGGCACCAGUGUGGAGAUAGUGUAAACCACGAGCUGCACCAAUGCAUAUCUCAAGCCUUUGCUUCCAUGGCAAGGGAGGCUUUUGGGUUUUGUAUAGAUGCUCACGCAGCGUCCCAUGCGCCAUGUAAUCAUAAACAAGGAUCAUCUCACAGUUCUCCUCACAAUACCCAAUCAAUGAAACAAGGUGACGGUGUCGAAGUUUUGAGAGCAUUUCAAUUUCAGUCUGGAACUCAUGCACACCCUGCUCAGAAAGUGGAUUGCCACGCUUGAUUGCAACUUUCGUCGUCCCACCAUCAAUUUCCCCCUUGUAGACUUUGCCAAAACCUCCCACUCCAAGGAGCAAAGCCUCAUCAAAAUUGUUGGUUGCAGCCUUGAUGUCAGCAAAUGAGAAGUGGCGGCAAAGGUUUGAAGGUAAAGAGGAAGCAUAACUUCCCGUCGUGUUUGUUUUGGCAGAACCAGCAGAGUGAGAAUUUCCAUACAGAGAAAGAGGAAGCCACCCAGAUGGCCCAUCACUUGCACUUGCCUCCUUCCCCUGUCUAUGACGACGAGAAGCAGCAAUAACACAGCAACCAAUGACAAGGGCUAGAAUAACUCCACCGCCUACACCCCCAGCUAUAAUUGCUUUCUGGUUCUUUGAAUGGCCAGAGCCUGAUGAUGGCCUCACCAAUGAAGGGUCAAUUACUUCCUGUUUAGGAGCAGGGAUUGGAUUGGGCCCAGCAAGAUUACCAUCGGGACUGCUAAUUUUGAAUAUCUCCACUCCAUUUAAGAUUGCAUCAUAAAACAUGGACUUCAAAACUGAAUCUGUAUUUGGAUGAAGUGCAAGCCACAGAUCCUGCUGAGGGCUCCCACCAGAAACAAGCACCACAUAAUCCUUGUGCACUGGAACUCCAUUGUGUUGAUUUGCCCAGGCAACCACAUCAGCCUGAUCCUCGGCAGUUUGAUUAUUGAGGAAGAUGCUGAAUACUCUCUGAUUAAUUUUGGUUAUAUUUGAAGCAACUUCACAAAAAUGGAGCCUAACCAAAUAACUGAAACCAGAGUCGACGCUAAAAAUCCAAGUCAAAUUGUAAUUCACAUUGAUUUUAGCGCUUGGCCCCAUUGAUCUAGCGGUAGAAUAGACAUCAAGUGGUGCAAUAUACGGAGGCACAGGGCUUUCAAUCGUCAUGUUUGGAUCAGCUGACUCUGAAACACCAAACGCUGCUCCAUAAAGAUAUGGCUGGUCAUCAGACCAAGACCUAAGCAUACCUGUAUCUCCUGACGGCGAGAUGUCAUUCCCGCCCACAUUUAACCGAUAAACAUUCUCAAGUGCAGUACUAUUAUCAAUAGUAAAUGGAGAGGUAUUACCCACUAUCAUUAGAGUUCCAUCAGUACUACCAUAAAUAUCAGGCAUGGACACUAUCUCAAUCCCAUUCACAAAUGCAUAAGCCUUUAAAGAAUUUGAAGACGGGCUGAAAGUUAUAUUCAACGUUCCACCAUCUACAUUAAUCGAGUACUCCUUCACAAUAAAGGCAUAAUUCAAAGCUUCCGUUGUUUGAGCAACACUGAAGUUCUUAAGAAGGGUAUAAGACGCAGCUGUGACGGAAAAGAGAGCAUCAGAUGCAUUAAGUCCACCGUAUGAAGCAGGAUAGAAAUACAGACGGACGAAUUUGCGACCAGCGGCCAAAGGGAAACUAUAGGUAAAACUAGAGCGAAAAACACGAGCAGUCAUGAAAGGGACUUGAGGGACUGCAGGGUCUUGGGUGGCAGCAGGGGCUAUGGAUGAAUUCACAGACGACGCCAAGAACUUAGAACCUUUAUCGGCAGUCCAUUUCUGACCAUCGGUAUCGGUGACAUCCGAAGUUGCCCCACAAUCUAGGAGGAUUUUAUCGGUUGGCAAAUAAUUUUGGGCAAUAGCAACAAGAAUUACAGAAGCCAAACAAAGUAAAAGGAGAGGAAAAGCAGGAAAACACCUACCCAUUCUCCCUAUGGACUCCAAUUUGACAAUGGAAGCAGAAUUAACGAUUUAUAUGAAGCGGAAAAUAGAGAAACCGUUUAGCCAAAUCCAAAUCAGAACCCCAAAAAGAUAGAUUUUGAGAAAGCAAAGUCGAAAAAGCAAGAUCUGACUGUUGAACCCAGUGAAAUCAAGUUCAACGCCUCAACCGCAACGUUUCAGAUAUCAAAAAGUAAAAAGCCCACAAAAGAACAAGAAACCCAGAUCCACAAAAACAAUUGGAUAAAGAAGCAGAUUACGAGAAGCUAAAAACCAGCACUAGAUUGCAGGGAAAGCAACCGUUAGCAGAAAAAGAAAGAGAAUUCAAGCCAUUUUCAGCUCAAGAGAUUGAAAAAGAUAAACUGACGGUGAGUUCUUACCUAGAAGGCGUGGCAGAAAUCAAACCCAGUGGAUCAAACCAGAGAGCUCACAGAGAGAGAAGGACAGGGUCAGAGCUCAGAAGUGAGACAACCCAAGAAGCAGAAAGUGGCUGAAAUCGUCAGAUGGAAGUUAACUCGGUUAAUUUAAGGCAGAGAUACAAUUAAGUGGUCAUUUAGUCGCUAAUUAUCUAUUACAUACUAAUAUAUAAUUAUUUAAAAAAUUAAUAAUAUAAAUUUUGAUGUUGAAAUGACGAGAAUGACCUUGAAGGCAUACCGAGUUGCCUUGUGAUUGGAUGACAGGUAGGCAGCAAAGUGAUUUGCACAUUCCAAACGCGUGUAAAAGACGGUGCGACGCGUUUGUCUUUUAUAGGCCCUUA
rnacentral:misc_RNA from 1 species